ensembl:miRNA predicted gene, 27974
CUCAGCAAUAAGAAGAUCAUACAUGGGUAGGAGAGAUGGCUCAGAAGCUAAGAACAGAGGCUGCUCUUUUAGAGGUCCUGAGUUCAAUUCCCAGCAACCACAUGG